GUGGGGUUGGACUUAGGGCAGGCCGUGCCCCUGGGUCUCUCACGGCGCCCGGCCCCGAGCAGCUUGGCCUGGAGCCGUGGCCUGCCUCUGCCCGUGGGCUGCGGGCCCUGACGCAGGUUGCAUGGUG
rnacentral:snoRNA from 1 species